rnacentral:rRNA from 1 species
AACGUAGGAGACAAACGUUAUCCGGAGUUACUGGGCGUAAAGGGCGUGUAGGUGGUUUCGUAAGUCUGGCGUGAAAUAUCUCGGCUUAACCGAGGCAGGUCGUCGGAUACUGCGGAACUAGAGGACGGUAGAGGCGUGUGGAAUUCCGGGUGUAGUGGUGAAAUGCGCAGAUAUCAGGAGGAACACCGGUGGCGAAGGCGGGUCUCUGGGCAGUAACUGACGCUGAGGAGCGAAAGCGUGGGGAGCGAACAGG